UGCCAGAAAUCAAAGAGAUUGAACAAUCCAGUUAAAAAAAAAAAAAAAAAAAGAUUGGUUUUUAUUUAUCAAUAUUGUGUUUGCAGGGACGCUACACAGUUAGGAGUGGGGCUAUGUAGAAUAAGUAGUUAUUUUAUAGAAUGAAGAUACCUAGCGAAUAGUGUAAAGAGGGAUAGAUAAUUCCUAAAAAGGUGGUUCAGCAGGUAGAAUGGAUGAAUAGUCAAGAAAAGUAGUUAUCAUCUGUAGUAUAGGAGUUGGUAUCUCGAGGUAGUAUGAGGAUGGAAGAGGGGAAGAAAAUGCCAGACUGCAAUAGUACUGAGCCGAGGAUAAGCUUGGUGCUAUCUCUUCUUCUUAGUUUUCUUGUUUCUUUUGUGUUAGUGUUGAUUCUAGUGAAGAGAAUUGAUUUAAUGAAUCAAUGUUUGAUUUAUGAAGUUGUUUAUGGAUCACUAUUUAUCAAUUGUUGUGAAAGAUUGAGGAUGUAUGGAAGUUUCCAGUCAUUGUUUAUCACAAGGUUGUAAGUUCAGUGGAGAGG
rnacentral:lncRNA from 1 species